UGGGGAAUAUUGCACAAUGGGCGCAAGCCUGAUGCAGCAACGCCGCGUGAACGAUGAAGGUCUUCGGAUCGUAAAGUUCUGUUGCAGGGGAAGAUAAUGACGGUACCCUGUGAGGAAGCUCCGGCUAAAUACGUGCCAGCAGCCGCGGUAAUACGUAUGGAGCAAGCGUUAUCCGGAUUCAUUGGGCGUAAAGCGCUCGUAGGCGGUCUGUUAGGUCGGCAAGUUAAAUCCGGGGGCUCAACCCCCGUCCGCUUCCGAUACCGGCAGACUUGAGUUUGGUAGGGGAAGGUGGAAUUCCUAGUGUAGCGAUGGAAUGCGCAGAUAUUAGGAAGAACACCGGUGGCGAAGGCGGCCUUCUGGGCCAUAACUGACGCUGAGGAGCGAAAGCUAGGGGAGCGAACAGG
rnacentral:rRNA from 1 species